rnacentral:rRNA from 1 species
AUUGAACUCUGGCGGUAUGCUUAACACAUGCAAGUCGAACGGCAGCACGGUAGAGCUUGCUCGAUGGGUGGCGCGUGGCGGACGGGUGAGUAAUGCAUCUGGACCUACCCAGACGUGGGGGAUAACGUAGGGAAACUUACGCUAAUACCGCAUACGUCCUAAGGGAGAAAGCGGGGGAUCGCAAGACCUCGCGCGGUUGGCUGGACAGAUGUGCGAUUAGCUAGUUGGUAAGGUAAUGGCUUACCACGGCGACGAUCGCUAGCUGGUCUGAGAGGAUGAUCAGCCACACUGGGACUGAGACACGGCCCAGACUCCUACGGGAGGCAGAAGUGGGGAAUAUUGGACAAUGGGCGCAAGCCUGAUCCAGCAAUACCGCGUGUGUGAAGAAGGCCCUCGGGUUGUAAAGCACUUUUAUCAGGAACGAAAUCUGCAAGGUUAAUACCCGUGCAGUCUGACGGUACCUGAGGAAUAAGCACCGGCUAACUCCGUGCCAGCAGCCGCCGUAA